GAUGAACGCUGGCGGCGUGCCUAAUACAUGCAAGUCGAGCGAACGGACGAGAAGCUUGCUUCUCUGAUGUUAGCGGCGGACGGGUGAGUAACACGUGGAUAACCUACCUAUAAGACUGGGAUAACUUCGGGAAACCGGAGCUAAUACCGGAUGAUAUUUUGAACCGCAUGGUUCAAAAGUGAAAGACGGUCUUGCUGUCACUUAUAGAUGGAUCCGCGCUGCAUUAGCUAGUUGGUAAGGUAACGGCUUACCAAGGCAACGAUGCAUAGCCGACCUGAGAGGAUGAUCAGCCACACUGGAACUGAGACACGGUCCAGACUCCUACGGGAGGCAGCAGUAGGGAAUAUUCCGCAAUGGGCGAAAGCCUGACGGAGCAACGCCGCGUGAGUGAUGAAGGUCUUCGGAUCGUAAAACUCUGUUAUUAGGGAAGAACAUAUGUGUAAGUAACUGUGCACAUCUUGACGGUACCUAAUCAGAAAGCCACGGCUAACUACGUG
rnacentral:rRNA from 1 species